rnacentral:rRNA from 1 species
CCUACGGGUGGCUGCAGUCGAGAAUUUUUCUCAAUGGGCGAAAGCCUGAAGGAGCGACGCCGCGUGGGGGAUGAAGGGCUUCGGUCCGUAAACCCCUGUCAUUUGCGAACAAACCUUAUGAUUGAACAUUUCAUGAGCUGAUUGUAGCGAAAGAGGAAGGGACGGCUAACUCUGUGCCAGCAGCCGCGGUAAUACAGAGGUCCCAAGCGUUGUUCGGAUUCACUGGGCGUAAAGGGUGCGCAGGUGGGUUGGCAAGUUCGAUGUGAAAGCCCCGG